rnacentral:rRNA from 1 species
GACGAACGCUGGCGGCGUGCCUAAUACAUGCAAGUCGAGCGAACCCGGGGUGCUUGCACCCUGAGGGUUAGCGGCGGACGGGUGAGUAACACGUGGGGAACCUGCCUUGCUGUCUGGGAUAACACCGGGAAACCGGUGCUAAUACCGGAUGUCCCCGUUCCGGCACCUGCCGGAGAGGGAAAAGGCGGCUUUGAGCCGCCGCAGCAAGCGGGGCCCGCGGCGCAUUAGUUAGUUGGCAGGGUAACGGCCUCCCAAGGCGACGAUGCGUAGCCGACCUGAGAGGGUGAUCGGCCACACUGGGACUGAGACACGGCCCAGACUCCUACGGGAGGCAGCAGUAGGGAAUCAUCCGCAAUGGACGAAAGUCUGACGGUGCAACGCCGCGUGAGUGAUGAAGGUUUUCGGAUCGUAAAGCUCUGUUGUGAGGGAAGAAUAGGAUGGGGAGGAAAUGCCCGAUCUGUGACGGUACCUCACCAGAAAGCCCCGGCUAACUACGUGCCAGCCGCCGCCGUAA